ACUCAAAGGAAUUGACGGGGGCCCGCACAAGCAGUGGAGUAUGUGGCUUAAUUCGACGCCACGCGAAAAACCUUACCAAGGCUUGACAUCCUACUGACGAAGUAGAGAUACAUUAGGUGCCCUUCGGGGAAAGUAGAGACAGGUGGUGCAUGGUUGUCGUCAGCUCGUGUCGUGAGAUGUUGGGUUAAGUCCCGCAACGAGCGCAACCCUUACGGUUAGUUGCUACAUUUAGUUGAGCACUCUAGCCGGACUGCCGUUGAUAAAACGGAGGAAGGUGGGGACGACGUCAAAUCAUCAUGCCCUUUAUGUCUUGGGCUGCACACGUACUACAAUGGCGGUUAACAACGGGACGCGAAAUAGCGAUAUGGAGCAAAUCCCCAAAAACCGCCUCAGUUCAGAUUGUAGGCUGAAACCCGCCUGCAUGAAGUCGGAAUUGCUAGUAAUCGCGAAUCAGCAUGUCGCGGUGAAUACGUUCCCGGGCCUUGUACACACCGCCCGU
rnacentral:rRNA from 1 species